rnacentral:rRNA from 1 species
UACGAGGGGUGCAAGCGUUGCUCGGAAUUAUUGGGCGUAAAGGGUAGGUAGGUGGUCUCAUUUGUCUGGGGUGAAAGCCUUGAGCUUAACUCAAGAAGUGCCCCAGAAACGGUGAGACUAGGAGUCCUGGAGAGGGUCGUGGAAUUCCCGGUGUAGCGGUGAAAUGCGCAGAUAUCGGGAAGAACACCCGUGGCGAAGGCGGCUUUCUGGGACGGUACUGACGCUGAGACGCGAAAGCGUGGGGAGCAAACAGG